rnacentral:rRNA from 1 species
UCUGGUUGAUCCUGGCCAGUAGUCAUAUGCUUGUCUCAAAGAUUAAGCCAUGCAUUGUCUUAAGUACAACCUUUAAUACGGUAAACGCGAAUGGCUCAUUAAAUCAGCUAUGGUUCCCUUAGAUCGUCUCAUCCUACUCGGGAUAACUUGUGAAAAUCUAGAGCUAAUACGUAGCUUACAAGCCCUGACCUCACGGGAGGGGCGCAUUUAUUAGAUUCAAAAACCAAUCGGGGCUUGCCCCGUCUGCUUGGUGACUCUGGAUAACUUUUUGUGCUGGAUCGCAUGGCCUCUGCGCUGGCGACAGUAUCUUUUCAAGUGUCUGCCCUAUCAACUUACGAUGGUAGGUGAUAUGGGCCUACCAUGGUUUAUAACAACGGGGUAACGGGAAUCAAGCGUUCGAUUCCGCGAGAGGGAGCCUGAGCACUGAGAAACGGCUACCACAUCUAAGUGAAGGCAGCAAGGCGCGCAAAUUACCCACUCCCGGCACGGGGAGGGUAGAGUGACGAAAAAUAACGAUACGGGACUCUUUGAGGCCCCGUAAUUGGAAUGAGUACACCUUUAAAUCCGUUAACAAGUAUCUAUUGAGAGGGCCAAGUCUGGUGCCAGCAGGCGCAGGUAAUUCCAGCUCCACAAUAGCCGUAUAUAUUAAUGUUGCUGCAGUUAAAAAAGCUCGUAGUUGGAUCUGAGGACUCGAAUUGGUGGUGCACCAUACGGUGUUACUGCCGAUUCGGGCCUACCUAGUCGGUGCUCGCUCUUGUGUGUUCUUAAUUGAAUGCCCUGAGUGCCGGCGGAAGUUUACUUUGAAAAAAAUUAGAGUGCUUCAAAGCAGGCCAUUAGCCGGAAUACUUCAGCAUGGAAUAAUGGAAUAGGACUUCGGUUCUCUAUUUGUUGGUUUUCGGAACCCGACGAGGUAAUGAUUAGAGAGACAGAGGGGUCGGGGGCAUUCGUACUGCGGUGUUUAGAGGUUGAAAUUCUUGGAUCGGCCGCAAGACGAACAACUGCGAAAGCAUUUUGCCAAGAAUGUUUUCAUUAAUCAAGAAACGAAAGUCAGAGGUUCGAAGACGAUCAGAUCAUACCGUCCUAGUUCUGGCAUAAACGAUGCCAACUGGCGCUGAUCCGAGAUCGUUUGCUUAUUGACCUCUCGGGCAGCACUCGGGAAACCAAAGUUUUUAGUUCCGGGGGAAGGUAUGGUUGCAAAGCUUGGAGUUUCCACUGUUUGCAAAGCUGGAAACUGCUUCAAUUGCAACUCUGCCUGUGACACCAAGUGGUCGGGUUACUUGGUCUGUUCUGGCCCGGAGUCGGUAGGGUUUCCGGCCUUGUGCUCUUUCCUUACUGUUCUGUAACGCGCCGAAGGCCGCGGGCUUCCACGGUGGGCUUCCACGGAAUGGGCGGGUUGUACAAAUCCGGCAAAUCCAUCAGCCAAAUGCGGUUCCGGACUCUGUCCAACCUGCCAACUGGUAACAGCCUCGGCUGGCUAACAUUUGAAGCUGGGACUCGCUUGGGAAGGAGCGAGACGAGGAUAAUAUAAACCUCUAUGUGACUGAGGUGAGGAAUCUGGUUCUCGUUAAAUGGCUGGAGAUUGCCCGAGCCUGUUAAGUCAUUAUAUACUUAGUUCCCCCACGAGGGGAGGUGUCGAAUUGAAGCCAGUGCGUGCCCUUACUAGUUUAAGGGAUUGUAUACUUC